rnacentral:rRNA from 1 species
GAUCCUGGCUCAGGAUGAACGCUAGCUACAGGCUUAACACAUGCAAGUCGAGGGGAAACGACAUCGAAAGCUUGCUUUUGAUGGGUGUCGACCGGCGCACGGGUGAGUAACGCGUAUCCAACCUGCCCACCACUUGGGGAUAACCUUGCGAAAGUAAGACUAAUACCCAAUGAUAUCUCUAGAAGACAUCUGAAGGAGAUUAAAGAUUUAUCGGUGAUGGAUGGGGAUGCGUCUGAUUAG